rnacentral:rRNA from 1 species
UCCAGACUCCUACGGGAGGCAGCAGUGGGGAAUAUUGGGCAAUGGAGGCAACUCUGACCCAGCAACGCCGCGUGAAUGAUGAAGGUCUUCGGAUUGUAAAGUUCUUUUCUAAGGGAAGAAGAAAGUGACGGUACCUUAGGAAUAAGCCUCGGCUAACUACGUGCCAGCAGCCGCGGUAAUACGGAGGAUGCGAGCGUUAUCCGGAUUUAUUGGGUUUAAAGGGUGCGUAGGCGGAAUGCCAAGUCAGCGGUAAAAUCGGGGGGCUCAACCUCGCUCCGCCGUUGAAACUGGCGUUCUUGAGUGGGCGAGAAGUAUGCGGAAUGCGUGGUGUAGCGGUGAAAUGCAUAGAUAUCACGCAGAACUCCGAUUGCGAAGGCAGCAUACCGGCGCCCAACUGACGCUGAAGCACGAAAGCGUGGGUAUCGAACAGGAUUAGAUACCCUGGUA